AGGACGACGCUGGCGGCGUGCCUAACACAUGCAAGUCGAGCGGAGGCGGCGGAAGAGCAAUCUGAGGCUGUCUGAGCGGCGGACGGGUGAGUAACGCGUGAGCAACCUGCCUUCCACAGGGGGAUAACGUACCGAAAGGUACACUAAUACCGCAUGAGACCACGGUACUGAUGGUACAGGGGUCAAAGGAGGAAUCCGGUGGGAGAUGGGCUCGCGUCCGAUUAGGUAGUUGGCGGGGUAAUGGCCCACCAAGCCUAUGAUCGGUAGCCGGCCUGAGAGGGUGAACGGCCACAUUGGAACUGAGAGACGGUCCAAACUCCUACGGGAGGCAGCAGUGGGGAAUAUUGGGCAAUGGGGGGAACCCUGACCCAGCAACGCCGCGUGAGGGAAGAAGGUUUUCGGAUUGUAAACCUCUGUUCUUGGAGAAGAGUGUAAGACGGUAUCCAAGGAGGAAGCCCCGGCUAACUACGUG
rnacentral:rRNA from 1 species